UGGGCAUUAGCUCAAUUGGUUAGAGCACUCAACUUAUAAUUGAGAGGUUUUGAGUUCGAUCCUCAAAUGCCCGACCA
rnacentral:tRNA from 1 species